GUAAUGUCGGGAACUCCAGGGAGACUGCCGGUGAUAAACCGGAGGAAGGUGGGGACGACGUCAAGUCAUCAUGGCCCUUACGAGUAGGGCUACACACGUGCUACAAUGGCGCAUACAGAGGGCGGCCAACUUGCGAAAGUGAGCGAAUCCCAAAAAGUGCGUCGUAGUCCGGAUUGGAGUCUGCAACUCGACUCCAUGAAGUCGGAAUCGCUAGUAAUCGUGGAUCAGAAUGCCACGGUGAAUACGUUCCCGGGCCUUGUACACACCGCCCGUCACACCAUGGGAGUGGGCUGCAAAAGAAGUGGGUAGUUUAACCUUCGGGAGGACGCUCACCACUUUGUGGUUCAUGACUGGGGUGAAGUCGUAACAAGGUAGCGCUAGGGGAACCUGGCGCUGGAUCACCUCCUUA
rnacentral:rRNA from 1 species